GAUGAACGCUGGCGGCGUGCCUAAUACAUGCAAGUCGAGCGAACAGACGAGGAGCUUGCUCCUCUGACGUUAGCGGCGGACGGGUGAGUAACACGUGGAUAACCUACCUAUAAGACUGGGAUAACUUCGGGAAACCGGAGCUAAUACCGGAUAAUAUAUUGAACCGCAUGGUUCAAUAGUGAAAGACGGUUUUGCUGUCACUUAUAGAUGGAUCCGCGCCGCAUUAGCUAGUUGGUAAGGUAACGGCUUACCAAGGCAACGAUGCGUAGCCGACCUGAGAGGGUGCUCGGCAAAACUGGACCUGAGACCCGGUCCAACCUCCUACGGGAGGAAGCAGUAGGGAUCUUCCGCAAUGGGCGAAAGCCUGACGGAGCAACGCCGCGUGAGUGAUGAAGGUCUUCGGAUCGUAAAACUCUGUUAUUAGGGAAGAACAAAUGUGUAAGUAACUAUGCACGUCUUGACGGUACCUAAUCAGAAAGCCACGGCUAACUACGUG
rnacentral:rRNA from 1 species